UGAAGCUGAGGCCCCAGUCUAUGAGGUAAUCCUUGGAGCUUCAUUAGAGGAUGAUUCCUAUUGGUCCACUGGCCAAGCCCCACCCAGGGUUCCCUGUGUUCCGCCUUCUUCUCAAGCGCAUAAAAGUGCAACAUCCGUACCUAGGCAGCCACCAGGACACCUGCAGCUGCUGUUGAACAGGAGCGGAAGGCUAACUGGACUAUCUGGGAAGGCAAGAGGAGCCAGUACUGUCUUCCUGGGAGGUGGGAGCAGCACCGGAGCCGCGGACAGCGUCACCCGGGUCAGGGGACAGAGAGGGCGCUCGUCUUCAGUACCCAGAGCCAGGACAGCUCAUAGCGGGCCACCAAGGAGACUUGGUGUGUCGCCGCUCGCCCCCCCCCCCGCCCCAGCCCCACCCCGACCCCCCCGCA